UAACACAAAUGCCAAUGUUACUGAAUGGAUGCCAGGCACAAGAUCUGAAGAAGGAAGAAGGAGGAAAGCCAUAAAGUGUGAGAGGGACUCGACCUGUCUGGCUUUGAAGAUGGAGGAAGGGGGCCAUUGCUGAGGAACGUGGGAAGCCUCUAGAACUUGGGAACAGCCUUACGCUGACAGACAGCAAGGAAACAGGAGUGAGUGUCAUCUUCACCACUGAAAUCUUCACCAAGCACAGUAGGAAGACAGGCGUGCAAAAACCUUAGAUUAAAAAACGAAUUUCUUUGAUGGCUGACAAUUUCCCCUUGUAAGAACUGCUUGUCCUUUUCUCAUUUAACUGGGUUUGAUAAUUUUCUUUAAUUGUAAGAGUUAUUCAAGUAAUAUAAACCUCAACCCUGUGUUAUACCUGC